UAAAAAAAAAAAAAAAAAAAACACAUUAUCACGUUUUGACAACAUUUUAAUAUUAAUAAUCAGUGAAAACAGACUUCCACGUAGUUCGUGCUUUGAUUUCUUGAUGUGUCCAGUUUUUGUUUAUCAGAUUUUCGUUAAAUGUACCUCGCAAAACUCCGCUAACAGAGCUAAUGCUAUGUUGAGGUUUGAGUGAUCGUCGAGUUGCCGCAACAAUGUUGCCUUCCAGCGGUUCUUUCAUAAAGUCGACUGUUAAACUUCUGCCACGAUGCAGCUGUAACCCAGGAUCUAUAUGGUACCUGUGCAGAAACAUAUCUGUGAAACCAGGAGUGUUGAAACCAAAGGCCAUACCUCCACGGUACCUGGGACAGCCCAGUCCAUUCACUCAUCCACACCUCAUCAAACAUGGUGAGGUGACUCCGGGGUUGAGCCAGACAGAAUAUGAGCUACGCAGACACAGACUGGCAUCACUUAUUGAGGCCCAGAUGGAGCAGCUUGGGUCAUCUGUCUCCUCUUGUACUCACGUUGUCAUUGUUUUGUCCCAUCCAAUCCGCUACAUGACCAAUGACAUCCCUUAUAUUUUCCACCAGAACCAGGAUUUCCUCUACCUCAGUGGCAUCCUAGAACCUGACAGUGCCUUGGUACUUUAUGGGAAGGGCCGACCAGAUCAGACCAUCUUGUUUGUGCCUCGCAGAGAUCCAGGGAGAGAGCUCUGGGAUGGACCCAGGUCCGGGAAGGAUGGUGCUGCUGCUCUGACUGGCAUCGAGAGAGUUCACAGCACAGAAGAACUGGGUGUUGUGCUCAAGAGCCUCAAAGGCACCGUCGUGUGGUACGAUGGUAUCCAGCCGACUCACCCUCAGCUCCACCAGACUCAUGUUCGUCCCUUGCUGGAGGCAGGACCGGUGCCUCGUACUGUCAAGCCCCUCAUACACUCUCUCAGGGCCCUGAAGAGCUCAGCUGAAGUGGCGCUCAUGAGAGAAGCAGGUCGUAUUACGGCACAGGCUUUCAGGAGGACGAUGGCUCUGUCUCAAGGGGAUGUCGAUGAAGCAGUGCUUUAUGCCAAGUUUGAUUUUGAGAGUCGGAUCCAUGGUGCCAACUUCCUGGCAUAUCCCCCCGUGGUUGCUGGAGGAAAUCGAGCUAACACUCUGCACUACAUAAACAACAACCAGAUUAUCAAGGAUGGUGAAUUGGUGCUGCUUGAUGGUGGUUGUGAAUAUUUUGGUUAUGUUAGUGACAUCACUCGUACAUGGCCAGUGAAUGGAAAAUUCAGCCUUGCACAGGCUGAGGUGUAUGAGGCGGUUCUAGAGGUCCAGCACUGCUGUUUAUCUUUGUGCUCUCCAGGCAUUAGUCUAGACCACAUCUACAGCAACAUGCUGGCACUUCUGGGACGACAGCUAAGGAGGCUGGGCAUCGUCGGGGCCAGCACCAGUGAUUCUGACACAUUAAAGUUUGCACAGCGGUACUGCCCCCACCACGUUGGUCAUUACCUGGGUUUGGAUGUACAUGACACGCCUGAACUAUCCCGUGCACAGCCUCUACAGGCAGGGAUGGUAAUCACCAUAGAACCAGGGUUGUAUGUCUGUACGGAUGAUGACCAGGCUUCAGAACGUUUCUGUGGUCUGGGUAUCAGGAUUGAGGAUGACGUGUUGAUCAGAGACACUGGAGGCCCUUUGAUUCUGUCCUCUGACACACCAAAGUCCAUCGCUGAUGUAGAGCAAGCCUGUGCCCAGAGAUAGGGCAGAGAGAGACAAGUGAGCGUAUGAGUUGCAGCAUCACUGUCCAACAUUUUACUGUGGUUCUCAUCCAACUGUGCAGUGAUGUCUACAGCACAUUUGUGAUUCAGGUGUAUGGAAGGUGGGAGACUUUUAAACUUAGUUUGAAUUCGGGACACCCAUCCUUUAGUAACAUAUUUUGGAAGGUUACAGAUUUUACAGACACUUUUAUCAUCUGACAAAAUGUUGAAAGACACCACCCCAUGUGGUUUCCUGUUUUGAACCAAAAACAUCCAUGCUAUGGUGAUUCUUGAGAUUCUCAAAACUAAUAAUAGACUCUUACCUGUUCACUCACUUCAAUAAUUUCUACAAAAGUGAAAGUCUUUUUGCUGCUUUCCACUUUUGUUGUCCAUUAUAGUCAUCCUCUCAGAUCCCCAGGUAAUUCAGAACAUUUUAGUCAUUAUUUCAAGGUGCGGUAAAUGAUUUUUCUCUACCACUAGAUGUCACACUAGCUCCAAUUUCAGCACCAAAACAAAGUUUCCCUUUCUUCCUCUGCAUGAAGCGGAAGGAACGACAAUUGGAGCCUUAACAAGUCUAACAGCUCUCUCUGUGGGGACAAGCCAAAGGUGUGAGAGGAAGUAAUGGUUUCACAGGGUGGUACUUGCAUGCACAUCCCGAAAUCACAUGCACUACGUGUGUACUUGCGGCUAGACCAAAAAUGUGAACAGGACAGAACAGCUCAGAGCAUAGGGCUUCAUUCUCUGCAUGGAAAUCCAACACACGACUAAAUCUUUUCAUAGAAUAUAGUUGGUGGUUACUAUAUUAAUGUGGAAAAUGUCAUUUAAAGCACCUUUAAAGCUACAGUGUGUUGCAUUUAAUAUUGUCUAGUGGUGAAAGUGCAUAUUGGUUUAUGCUGACACCGGUCAUGUUUUUGUUUCCUUUCGUGUUUUUGCUUCUUUGGCUACGGGGUUCAAUGCUCCCUUGUCUUGUCUUGUGAUACAAAUGAUCAUCUACUUCACAAAAAAGAGGUUCACACAUAUUGUGACAUGCACGAGCAGUCAUUAGACAGUGUAUAGCAGCAACCACUGAUUCCUCCCAUUUUCUUCAAUCUUCUGCAAAAUGUGAAAGUCAGAGUUAGUAUAGCCCUUUUGGGCUGUAUAAACAUGGUGGUACAACAUGGGGACCUCCAUGAGGGGACCCGCUCCCACGUAGUUAUGAAGGGGUCAUUUUGAGCUUAUGAAAACACCUUGAUUGGUUGUUAUAGAUAAUAAUUACACAAUAAUGAAAAGAUGGUUAUGAAUAUUCCACACCCUCAUUCCGACACACUGUGAAUUCUAAUCCCUUCAUACCCACUUUGUCUUUCACACUCUCUUUGAAACAUCACUCUGAUUAUACUUUUGAAAACACCUUCUUUCUCACUUCAUGCAGCAGUCUGACUUCUGCCGGAGAUGCAGAACAAAUGUUGGGUGCACGAUCAUUGUGCUGACGUAACCAGAGGUAUUAAAAUCCACUGGCCUCUUACGCACACACAACUGAAUCCAUGAAGUGUUGAAUGAAGAGAACUGUGUCCAAAACACAUCUACUCUUGAUCAACCUUGGAUGGAAAUAAAUGUAUUGAAAUAUUUUGAAACUACACUAAAAUGUUUGUGUUUUAUGUGGUGGAAAUUCAUUGAGGGGAAAAAUGUGAGCACAAGCUAAAUAGACAUCAACAGAUCAUUUGUUGUUAUUUGUGUAAAGUCUAUUUUAUCUUUAAUGAUUAAUAAACUUUGUUGGAUUGAACCGGUUUACAGUAUGUACGAAUGAUGUGAAGUGAAAAAUUAUGAAAGCAACUUGAAUUUUACAGUAAAUAUCACAAAUAUAAUGGCAAAUAAAUUAUUUCACACAUAG